UAGCUCUCAAUGAAAUGAAAUUGACCCAGUAUAUUUGAGAAACCAGGUCAACAGCUGAGGGUCAGCCUGGUGAAUUUCUAUUCUAAAAGAUUCUGUUUUGGUCCAUUUACGGUUAGGGAUUUAUCUGGGAGUAGGGAGAGCGAAUCUGCAGACACCGUGAUGUUCGCACAAGAAGACGAGUAGGGAGAGCGAGAGCAAAUCUGCAGACACCGAGAUGCCCGCACAACUAGACACAAUUAAUUGUAAAGGAAAGCUAUUUCCCAUAAAAGUUUGGCUUCUCUGGAAACGCAUUCCCAAAGUAGGCUUCCUUCAAGUUAUCACCAUAUUUGUGGAGCAAACCACGCGCACAGAAACCGACUUUUGGGAAUGCGACAAUAGUAAUAUUUGGUAGCCACCUUUUUACAUGAUUUCAUAGUCCACCC
rnacentral:lncRNA from 1 species